UCCUCAUUAGUAUAGUGGUGAGUAUCCCGACUGUCAUGUGGGAUACCUGGGUUUGAUUCCCUGAUGGGGAG
rnacentral:tRNA from 1 species